GAUGAACGCUGGCGGCGUGCCUAAUACAUGCAAGUCGAGCGAACGGACGAGAAGCUUGCUUCUCUGAUGUUAGCGGCGGACGGGUGAGUAACACAUGGAUAACCUACCUAUAAGACUGGGAUAACUUCGGGAAACCGUAGCUAAUACCGGAUAAUAUUUUGAACCGCAUGGUUCAAAAGUGAAAGACGGUCUUGCUGUCACUUAUAGAUGGAUCCGCGCUGCAUUAGCUAGUUGGUAAGGUAACGGCUUACCAAGGCAACGAUGCAUAGCCGACCUGAGAGGGUGAUCGGCCACACUGGAACUGAGACACGGUCCAGACUCCUACGGGAGGCAGCAGUAGGGAAUCUUCCGCAAUGGGCGAAAGCCUGACGGAGCAAAGCCGCGUGAGUGAUGAAGGUCUUCGGAUCGUAAAACUCUGUUAUUAGGGAAGAACAUAUGUGUAAGUAACUGUGCACAUCUUGACGGUACCUAAUCAGAAAGCCACGGCUAACUACGUG
rnacentral:rRNA from 1 species